AUUGAACGCUGGCGGCAUGCCUAACACAUGCAAGUCGAACGAGUGGCGGACGGGUGAGUAAUGUCUGGGAAACUGCCUGAUGGAUGGGGAUAACUACUGGAAACGGUAGAUAAUACCGCAUACCAUCGGAUGUGGCCAGGUGGGAGUAGCUAGUAGGGGGGGUAAAGGCUCACCUAGGCGACGAUGCCUAGCCGGUCUGAGAGGAUGACCGGCCACACUGGCACUGAGACACGGUCCAGACUCCUACGGGAGGCAGCAGUGGGGAAUAUUGCACAAUGGUCGAAAGCCUGACGGAGCCAUGCCGCGUGUAUGAAGAAGGUUUUCGGGUUGGAAAGUUCUUUUAUUGGGGAGGCGGUACCUGCAGAAGAAGCACCGGCUAACUACGUGCCAGCAGCCGCGGUAAUAC
rnacentral:rRNA from 1 species